UAAUAUGGCUGGUGGGUUGUCUCUCGUCUGUUGCACGGUGUUGCUGCCGUCUCAUUCAUUCGCGUUAGCUAUGAAGUCUCUCUGCGUGCAGAGUAAUCACAGGCCCGUCCAUUCAACUGGGGCAAGUCCUAGACUUGACGUGCCUGUACUAUCCACCAUACACUGGCUGACCGAGAUGGGCGGUUGUCUCCGUCAGUUUGAUUCCCGCACUGGAAUUAGCCGUUCCUCAAAUCACACGGUCACAUCAGAGAAUCGUCUAUCAGAUCCGAGAAGAACCGAGACUCGUUGAUUUAAAGCGGAUUCUCGAUCAGCCGAUUUGGAGGUCCACUGCAAGCCCGGUGUAUUAAAAUUCCUUGUUCGUGUGAAGCUUACAGAGUAAAGAGACUACUUGGUAAAAAUGCAUGCAGCAUCGAGCGCAAAAGAACAGAAAGGUGCAUUUUGAAGUAGUGCUAAAAGAAAUGCUAAAGCGACAAUAACGGAAUAAUCGAGAGAGGUAGAAUUGAGAACGUGGCAGCACCACCGAAAGACUCAUUUAAUGGGUAGCUAUUUUGGCGCUGUAGAUCUAGAAGAUUCAUCACAACCACAACCCUCACCACCAUUGAGGACAUCUUCAAGAGGCAGUACCUUAAGAAGGUACAGGGUUUCACUAUAAAGACCCUCAGCAUCCAGGACAUGCCCUCUUCUCAUUACUACCGUCGGGGAAGAGGUACAGGAGCUUGAAGACCCUCACUCAACAAUUCAGAAACAGUUUCUUCCACUUCGCCAUCAGAUUUCAGAAUGGUGCGGGAACAUGACAGUUUUUUUUGCACGAUUUAUUUUGUACUUUAUAGUAGUUUUGAUUUUGCGAUUUACAGCUGCAGCAAAACAACAAAUUUCACAUCAUAGAAGACAGUGAUAAUAAACUGGAUGCUGAAGGUCAAUACAUAGGGGCAGCAGGACAUGAGAUUAUGAUAUCAUGGAUUAUGUAUAGCUCCAAUAUUGUAUUCUGGCUUCCUUGAUCUAAGAAACACUAUGCCAUUUUCUGUUCCAAUUUAUUUAUAAAAGGAUUAUUUUUAAUAUUUAUAUUCCAUGUGUUGCUUAUCUUUGUAUCAGCAAACUUGAAUGUGGAUAAUUUUUAAAAAUUGUUUUAUCUUAAUGUUAUCUUGCCACACAAAGUUGUUCAUGAACAAUAAAAGAGAUUUGAGAGCACAAUACAGGCUGCUAUGGGAUGUCGCCAGUAAUAGCCUGUUAAUUAGAGUACUUGCAUGUUAUCCCCUAUUUAGGUCUUCAGCUCAGUCAUCAUUAGUUUGGCUUCAAUUCCAUGAGCUUCAGUUUUCACUAAUUGUGUCUUUAAGAUGAGCUCUAUUGACUGGAAGUCCAUACAAGUAGAUGUUCCUCUAUCUACUAUUUACAGUUCUCUUUUUCUAAAUUUUAA